rnacentral:rRNA from 1 species
CCUACGGGUGGCAGCAGUGAGGAAUAUUGGUCAAUGGUCGGGAGACUGAACCAGCCAAGCCGCGUGAGGGAUGAAGGUACAGAGUAUCGUAAACCUCUUUUGUCAGGGAACAAAGGCGGGGACGUGUCCCCGGAUGAGUGUACCUGAAGAAAAAGCAUCGGCUAACUCCGUGCCAGCAGCCGCGGUAAUACGGAGGAUGCGAGCGUUAUCCGGAUUUAUUGGGUUUAAAGGGUGCGUAGGCGGUCCGUUAAGUCAGCGGUAAAAUUGCGGGGCUCAACCCCGUCGAGCCGUUGAAACUGGCAGACUUGAGUUGGCGAGAAGUACGCGGAAUGCGCGGUGUAGCGGUGAAAUGCAUAGAUAUCGCGCAGAACUCCGAUUGCGAAGGCAGCGUACCGGCGCCAGACUGACGCUGAGGCACGAAAGCGUGGGGAUCGAACAGGAUUAGAUACCCGAGUAGUC